rnacentral:rRNA from 1 species
UGCCCAAGAGAUCGGGAUAACACCUGGAAACAGAUGCUAAUACCGGAUAAUAACAGAUGAUGCCUAUCAACUGUUUAAAAGAUGGUUCUGCUAUCACUCUUGGAUGGACCUGCGGUGCAUUAGCUAGUUGGUAGGGUAACGGCCUACCAAGGCGAUGAUGCAUAGCCGAGUUGAGAGACUGAUCGGCCACAUUGGGACUGAGACACGGCCCAAACUCCUACGGGAGGCAGCAGC